UCUCCUCCAUGCGGGCACUCAGAAACGGUACAGGUUUCCUCCAUAGAACCCGCUCCGCUAUAAAGAAAGUUCAUGUUGACAGCUCAUUAAAAGGCCCGAGGAUGAAGUGAUAAAUCAGCAUUUAUUGCGCGGAUCUAACGUUGCCAACAUGUGAAGCAUUCGCGGGGACUGCUUCAUGCAACGCACAAUCACGGGCACGCUUGUGUUCAUGAAAAAAGACGGGGCGGGCCCUGCAGGACAUUUGGUGAAACGGAGGUCUACUUCCAGCUUACCUGGGACCUGGAGCUGAACACGCUAAAGACUGUAGAGAUGAUUGUGGACUUCAGGAGGCCUCCUUUGCCACAGCUGCCCCUCACGCUGUCCAACUGCCUUGUGUCAACCGUCAAGACCUUCAAGUUCCUGGGAAUUACAGUCUCUCAGGACCUGAAGUUGGGCGAUCAACAUCAACUCCGUCCUCAAAAAGGCCAAGCAGAGGAUGUACUUCCUGCGGCUUCUGAGGAAGCACGGCCUGCCACGGGAGCUGUUCUACACAUAGAAUCAGUCCUGUGUUCUUCCAUCACAGUUGGGUUUGGUGCUGCUCCAAAAAAGGACAAACUCUGACUGCAACGGACAAUCAAAACCGCUGAAAAGCUUGUCGGUACCCCCCUACCAACCCUUGAGGACUUGCACGCUGCCAGAACUAAGACAAGAGCAUACAAAAUCCUCUUGUACCCUCCACAUCCCGGUCACCGGCUCUUCCAGCUCCUUCCAUCAGGUGAUCGACUGGCAGGCGGGAGCUGCUAUAGGCACCAAGUCAGAGGACGCCAGUCAGAAGGCAGAGGGGAAUUCUUCAUCAAUCAAGUUUAUCCCGUUUGGUCCACAGAAAUACUGCCUU